AGUGGGGAAUAUUGGACAAUGGGCGCAAGCCUGAUCCAGCCAUGCCGCGUGUGUGAAGAAGGCCUUCGGGUUGUAAAGCACUUUUGUUCGGGAAGAAAUCGUGCGGAUUAAUACUCUGUACGGAUGACGGUACCGAAAGAAUAAGCACCGGCUAACUUCGUGCCAGCAGCCGCGGUAAUACGAAGGGUGCAAGCGUUACUCGGAAUCACUGGGCGUAAAGCGUGCGUAGGCGGUUCGUUAAGUCUGCUGUGAAAGCCCUGGGCUCAACCUGGGAACUGCAGUGGAUACUGGCGGGCUAGAGUGUGAUAGAGGAUGGUGGAAUUCCCGGUGUAGCGGUGAAAUGCGUAGAGAUCGGGAGGAACACCAGUGGCGAAGGCGGCCAUCUGGAUCAACACUGACGCUGAGGCACGAAAGCGUGGGGAGCAAA
rnacentral:rRNA from 1 species